AAAUGACUCUCGGCAACGGAUAUCUCGGCUCUCGCAUCGAUGAAGAACGUAGCGAAAUGCGAUACUUGGUGUGAAUUGCAGAAUCCCGUGAACCAUUGAGUCUUUGAACGCAAGUUGCGCCCGAAGCCACCUGGCUAAGGGCACGUCUGCCUGGGUGUCACGU
rnacentral:rRNA from 1 species